AUGAACAAAGGCAAACAGAUCUUUCUACAACCACAACUGUAAACACAAUAAUCAAUAAAACAAUACCUCCGAACAACUCCCCAAUUCCUACAAAUAGACUCGACAAAAGCUUAACGCUUUCGGCAGCUCCUCACUAUUCCUCUAAUGAGUACUGGAAAAAGGGGAUAUAUUUUGAUCCUAUAAAACAGGGAGUCAAUUCCUAGAAUGUCACAAGGACACUGAACUAGUA